rfam:Nomascus leucogenys chromosome 5, whole genome shotgun sequence.
GCCGGGCGUCGUGGCGGGCGCCUGUAGUCUCAGCUACUUGGGAGGCUGAGGCGGGAGAAUUGCUUGAACCCGGGAGGCGGACGUUGCAGUGAGCAGAGAUCGCGCCACUGCACUCCAGCCUGGGUGACAGAGCGAGACUCUGUCUCAU